rnacentral:rRNA from 1 species
GCUAGCUACAGGCUUAACACAUGCAAGUCGAGGGGCAGCAUGGUCUUAGCUUGCUAAGGCCGAUGGCGACCGGCGCACGGGUGAGUAACACGUAUCCAACCUGCCGUCUACUCUUGGACAGCCUUCUGAAAGGAAGAUUAAUACAAGAUGGCAUCAUGAGUCCGCAUGUUCACAUGAUUAAAGGUAUUCCGGUAGACGAUGGGGAUGCGUUCCAUUAGAUAGUAGGCGGGGUAACGGCCCACCUAGUCUUCGAUGGAUAGGGGUUCUGAGAGGAAGGUCCCCCACAUUGGAACUGAGACACGGUCCAAACUCCUACGGGAGGCAGCAGUGAGGAAUAUUGGUCAAUGGGCGCAGGCCUGAACCACCCAAGUAGCGUGAAGGAUGACUGCCCUAUGGGUUGUAAACUUCUUUUAUAAAGGAAUAAAGUCGGGUAUGUAUACCCGUUUGCAUGUACUUUAUGAAUAAGGAUCGGCUAACUCCGUGCCAUCACCCGCGGUAAUACGGAGGAUCCGAGCGUUAU